rnacentral:lncRNA from 1 species
AAAUAAUGCAAAUAAAGAUAAAGAUAAAAAUAAUAAUAAAAUAUAUAUAUGAGCAACUUAAAUAGUAAUAUAUAUUUAUUAAAAUUAAUGAAUUAUAAUUAAUCGUUUAAUGCAAUCAAAGAUCCCAUAUGCAUACAGAAAAACGUUACACAGCUUGUAUCGUCAAUAUUAAGGGGCUUAGAAGUGACUUUCUUUUGGAGCUAGGGCAGAAACUCUGUUGAAAAAGAAUCCGGAGGACUAUCCAGACAAUGAUGCCAAAGAUCCUGAUCUUAUUCCUCCAAAAUCAAACUAUUUCGACUAUCCGUCCGAAGAAAGAGAGUGGUAUUCAUUCAGAAGAAGCAAAGCCACAGAUAAAAUCUAUGACAACCACAUACCAGGUUCGCAUCCUUUGUACGAUAGCGGAGGACCAAGCACAGCUCCUUGUCAAACUUCGAUCAAGGUACGUCCAACACGCACAUGUUAAAGUAAUUUUAGUAAUUAAAUAAUAAAUAUAUAUAUAUAUAUAUAUAUAUGAGUGUGUGUGUGUGUAUACUUGUCAUCU